rnacentral:rRNA from 1 species
UGAACUUGCAGAAGGAUCAUUG